rnacentral:rRNA from 1 species
AUUGAACGCUGGCGGCAGGCUCAACACAUGCAAGUCGAGCGGAGAUGAGGUGCUUGCACCUUAUCUUAGCGGCGGACGGGUGAGUAAUGCUUAGGCAUCUGCCUAUUAGUGGGGGACAACAUUCCGAAAGGAAUGCUAAUACCGCAUACGUCCUACGGGAGAAAGCAGGGGAUCUUCGGACCUUGCGCUAAUAGAUGAGCCUAAGUCGGAGUAGCUAGUUGGUGGGGUAAAGGCCUACCAAGGCGACGAUCUGUAGCGGGUCUGAGAGGAUGAUCCGCCACACUGGGACUGAGACACGGCCAAGACUCCUACGGGAGGCAGCAGUGGGGAAUAUUGGACAAUGGGGGAAACCCUGAUCCAGCCAUGCCGCGUGUGUGAAGAAGGCCUUAUGGUUGUAAAGCACUUUAAGCGAGGAGGAGGCUACUGAGACUAAUACUCUUGGAUAGUGGACGUUACUCGCAGAAUAAGCACCGGCUAACUCUGUGCCAGCCGCCGCCGUAA